UCGGCAGACUUUUAGUUACUUUAACAACUAGAUAUUAUUUAUGAUUUAAUUAAGGGUUUUUGUAAUUUGCCUAAUGACUUUCCAAAUUAUGACUGAGAACAGACCUACCAAAGAGGCUCGGAUUAAGACAGAAACAAAUGUAUUUAGAUUGUUAUUUUGUGUGUGUGUGUGUGUGUAGACAUACCCUGCAACCCAGCCCAACCUUGUCAGUCCAGCAGGUCAUAGCAUUGGUUCCUUUUGGACAAGGAUUGGCAUCCUUUUUCUGUGAAGGGCAGAUAGGACUAGUUUAGGCUUGAGCCUCUUUGUAACUUCUCACCUGUAGCCUCAUAGCACGAAGGCAGCUGUGUUCUAGUAAAGCCUGAGUUCUAAAGGCAGGUGGAGGGUGAAUCUGGCCCAUGGGCUGUAGUUUGCCGACCCGUCUCUAGGAGAUAACGCCCUCGGCCCCAGUGGGCUUUGCGCAUCGGCAUGGUGUUCCAUUCGUUACAGUAGCCAUGUGAGGCUUGUGCCCUUGGCUUUUCUAAGAAGGUCAGGUUUCCUGGCCCAUCAUCCAUAACCCCUUUGAUGGGUAUAGGAAAUGUUAACAUCUUACAGGCAAGCUUUGUGACAGGACCAGAGAAUCAUCUAUCAAGAAAUGAUUCAACUCCCGUAUAUAAAAACAUGGAAAUUAUGAAUAAAACCCUAAUACUUGAGAA